UAGGGAAUAUUGGACAAUGGGGGCAACCCUGAUCCAGCCAUGCCGCGUGAGUGAAGAAGGCCCUCGGGUUGUAAAGCUCUUUUGUCCGGAAAGAAAAGCUUCGGGUUAAUACCCCGGGGUUCUGACAGUACCGGAAGAAUAAGCACCGGCUAACUUCGUGCCAGCAGCCGCGGUAAUACGAAGGGUGCAAGCGUUACUCGGAAUUACUGGGCGUAAAGCGUGCGUAGGUGGUUGUUUAAGUCUGAUGUGAAAGCCCUGGGCUCAACCUGGGAAUGGCAUUGGNAACUGGGCAGCUAGAGUGCGGUAGAGGGUAGUGGAAUUCCCGGUGUAGCAGUGAAAUGCGUAGAGAUCGGGAGGAACAUCUGUGGCGAAGGCGACUGCCUGGACCAGCACUGACACUGAGGCACGAAAGCGUGGGGAGCAAACA
rnacentral:rRNA from 1 species